GGCUUGCUGUCAUGGCAACCGAGCCUUCCAAAGCCUGGAAAACUCACCAUACAGAUGUAGGGAGAAAAAUUCCACUGCUGAAUUUCCAAAGAAGGGCUCAAAAGGAGGCAGAAGGAGAAAAAUCUGAGCUUGGGAAUGACACAGGUGGAGGUGGGGAGGUUCUGUGGUUGGGGACCUAUUGAAGAUUCAUAGUACAUGUACCAUAAACCCGCCUAGCCAGGACCGGGGGAAGAGGACUCAGCACUGUGUGGCUUCAUCUGCAUUUGCUAAUGUUCAUAUCAUCUGAUCCCUGGAGCAUUGGCACAGAAAUAUUGAGGUUUAUAGAUGAGACAGGCACUUAGCUACCACAUGGAUUUAGAUGGGAUGCCUUCUUUGGACCACAGAGGCCACUGGAAACCUAGAGGACAUAUCUUGACCCAGGGACAGGAUAUACUGGUGAAGCCACAGCUCCUGAAUGACUCAGCUUUCUUUUCUGGACAUGUGCCACACCCAAGGGAUGUCCAGGCCUGCUGCCCUUAACCCCCGAACUGCCAGUGAGUUCUUGGAGCCUGCUUAGGGGAAGCUGAAGCCAGCAGGGAUAUGGGAAGAGCAGGAGACAUAAACCUCCCCUUGGACAUUCUUAGCUGACCCACAGGAGGCGGGAGUCAAGGGAAGAGAGACUACUCCAUGCAUCACUUGGGAAACUGAACUGGUAUACAACAAAGAAAUCUUCCCACAAACAUCUCAUCUUUCCCUCUUCAGUAUCCACAUUGGAAUAAUAAGAGAUAAGUGAGAUGAGGCAAGUGAUAAAGAUGGGAGUCCUUCUUCCUUAAUGCCCCAAACGGUAAAGAAAACUCUCAGACUAUGUUGCUCCAAGUUAGGUGAGACUUCCAAUCUUCUGCAGCUCUAAAUUAUCAUCUAUAAAACUGAGAUCUUUUGACAACUUGAAUAAUGUCAGUAAUACAAGACGCAUAACCUAGGGAGUACUAUUUAAUGAAGACUGUUUCGUGGUGUGUUUGCAUUGGCUCAUCCAUCACCUUUUCUUGCAGGAUAUUUGCCAUAAGGAGAGGCCUUGGCUAUUCACAGGUACACUUAUCUGUAACUUGACAGCAGAUAAGUCUGGCACUAAGGGGAUAUAAUCAUGUUUUAGAUACCUCUUCAUUCCUUCGUCAUGUGAGUACUUCCAUGUACACAAACACCCAGAAUAACAAUAACAACAGAAAUCCAUGGAAGUCUGGCUACUAAAUAAGCUUAUCUAACUAAUAUAGGGAUGUUGCUCUGAGAUGGAAAAGAUGGAAGAAGAUGACAGCAUUGAAUCCUUUUACCUGAAAGAUAAGAUAAAAUUCAUCCAGAAGAAAAUUUGGAAUGACUUAUGGGGAUUGGCCAUGAACAGAAGACAAUGAAACAAAUUUUAAAAAUGCCACCAAACAAAAUUUUACCUUCUGCAAAAGAGGAAUUGUAGCUUUGUUUUCUUUUCUGUCUUUUUGUUUGUUUGUUUGUUUGCUAUCUUUGAAAAUUCUCUAGCAAUUGAGCUUAAGCCUACUCUGGAUUUUUAUUUAAUCCGCUGGAACUGAGAAUAGAGAUUAGAAUUUGAGAGUUGAAAAAAAUUUAGAAGUCAUCUUACCCCCAAAACACUGUUCUCAUUUUACCAUUAGGCCCAUACACCCAGGUCCAAGGAGGUCCACGUUUGCUCAGGCCACAUGCAGGUCGCAUGGUCGCACUUAAUGCACAGAAGUCACUAUUUAACACAUUUUGGGUUUGUGUAACCAGAUAGUGGACUUUAUUAAUAGUGGGAACUUUUGAUUGUUAGCAGGUCAACUUCAUUUUUCAUGUGGGAGGAUUGUGAGGUAUAUGCCUUUGGGAAUGAAGAAUGUAGAAUAUAAAGCAAGGGGCUGAAAUAGAUCGCCAUAUCUCUGUUCAUUUUUCAUACAUUUCAGCAGGAGUUAUUUGAGAACACAAGGGUGUUCCAGCGCUGAAUGAGCAACUAGAAAAGACUGUCAUGGCCAAAUGUGUCUUUGGGCAAAUGUUCCUUCUGUGGCUAAGUUGGUGAGUUUUUCUGAGACCUUGAAGAAUAGUGAAGCAGUCAUCUGGUAAAAGAUUGAAUCAAAGUUCUCUGGGCUUCCCUGUUCUGCCUACCAUAUCCCCCUUUUCCUCUUAACUACUGCCAUUUAAUUACUCACAGUCAGUUGUGUUUCAAAGCCAUGAAUAUUUGGGCAUUCUCUUCUCUGGGAUGUGGAGAAACUGUUGGGCAUGGUUCUUGAGCUACUUAAUACUUAUGUCAUAAAUAUAAUGAGAUACUAAGCCCCACACUGUUUCACUGUUUAGAGCAGUCUAUGCACAUAUAAUCAAUGCCUCUAAAAGCUCUGAUGAAGUUUGGCACGUUUUAAAGAACCAAGGAGAGCAUGGAAAUAGGGCUUUUGGAGAGAAGAGUUGGAACCAUAGUUGAUUCUGGAAGCAGAAUAUUUCAUGCUUCCCUGGACACAGAGGACUGAGAUCUGAUCUUUCUGUUGGAACUGAAAAAAAAAUCUAGAAAUGAGAAUGUGAUAUCUUAUUUGUCAGACUAAAAUUCAUGGAAACUUUGAGUUAUGAAGUUCUUUAGAAGUUACAUAAAUCCUAUAAAUUUUAAUAUGGAAUCUCUGAAACUAAAGUAAAAAUAGAUGCAUUGUAUUAAGAUGACUUUAUUUAUAAAACUUUAAAUUGGUAGCAUUUAUGCAUGCUAAAGCUAAACCACAAAAACAUAUUUAAGUUUUGCUGUUUCCCAUUGUGUUUAAAUUGUAUAUCCAGAACAUUUGAGCAUAUUGGUUUUCAUUAGAUUUUAUUGCUUAUAAUGCACUAAUGUUAGUAGUUGCAUUAUGAUUAUAAUAUACAUAAGCAGAUAAAAUUGAAAUCAACUGUUGUAGAACCAAUCACUGAAGUUCCUUCACAAGAUCACUAGGUUCCAUAGAAAACAAUUUUGUAAAACAUUAAUCCAUUUCUUUAGCAUUGUAGAAAGUCCACGCAUGGAUACUUCUUUCUAGUGACAAGGAAUGCAUAUCUUAGCAAAGCAACCCACAUCUUAUUCUUGGGCAAUUACUCUUUACAUUCUACCAAAUCUGUUCAUGAAACAUCUAUGCAAUGGUCCCAGUUCUGGCCUUUGGAACCACGGUCCUCAUCUGUGUACCAGAAGACAGUUACUGUGCCACAUCAAGCUUGUCCUUUCUUUUGGCUUCAUUGUCCCAGGUUACCUCAAUUCUCCUGUCUACAGCAUGGUUCCAGAACCACAUGGAUACCUUCCUGAAUGUUCUCGUGCUUAUAAAGACACUUUUGAAAUGCAGAUGUCUUAAAUUUUCUGAAAUUAAACAUGUAUCCAACUGAAUUCCUGGUCUCUUCCCAUUAUGCCAGCUGCUGAGGUUAUAUGGAUCAGAAAAAAAUCUAUUUCACAUCCUUGACAUCUUUCUCUGUUUUGCCCUUUCUAUACCUAAUCCAUAUCUGGGGUCUAAACCACUCCUCCUAAAUCACUAAAAUAUCCCUUCUUUGCUCUGUCUCCUCUGUUAUCAUCUUGGCCCACCUUAUCAGUAUCUGCUUCCGGAGUCUACUCCCAAAGCAUGUCUGUUUAUAGACACCAAUGCUCCUCAGAGUUGCAAAACCUACAUCUUUCUUCAUGCUCCCAGAGGUAUCCCAUUGCCUUUAUGGAAAUGGGAAAUCUUUAAUAUGACUGACAAGUUGCUGUUGCACUUUUUCCUUCUCCAGCUGGAUUGUACACCCCAUGCUCUGUCCUGGCAUGUUCCUCAUUUUUCACUUCCUUCACCAUGCUCAGCUUAUCCUGCCACAGGGCCUUCCUAUCCAUUGUUUCUUCUGCCUAGAGGCAACUUUCCUUACCUGGUUGGUCCAACCUGCAAGAUUCAGUUCCAAGAUGCUUUCCCCAGUCUUCUGAGUUCUCUCCUAGGCCAGAUUCUCACAUUACAGGUUCUCUGAGUCCCAGGGAUGCUUGCUCCAAGAAUAAUCAACUAAUCCCACAAAUAUUUGUCAAGUAAGAAUGAUUAUUUGAUUAUUCUUGAUCAUUAGCUCCAGGAGGCUAAGAUGUGUCUAUUUUUGCUUACUUUCCCCAUCCCUAUCCCUUCCCAACAUGUAAUGUACUUGUAUUCAACAACAUUUCUUAAUUAGUUACAUAAUUCCUAUUUUGAGUCUCUGUUUCAUCAAGAAGAAUGAUCUGAAAUCAAGAAAAGAUGAAACAAAUAUGGUAAAAAUUCCUCUUCAUAUGGAAAUCCCAACCUUAUUUUAAAACAAUGUAUGUCUCCAGCCAUUGUUGAAUAAUGUCCAAGUUUAUUUCCCUUGAUUAUGUAAGCUCAGUAUUCAUACAGCAGGAAUAAAUGAAAAGGGUGAGGCAAAGGUGAUGAAGCAGUUGGACAAAGUUUGACAUAAUUUUCAGAGGAGAGUAAAGGAAUGGAAUUUUACAAAGGACUGAUAAUUAAACUUGAGCUUUGUUCCAGAAUAAAUUAACAAAAAUGGCAAAGAUGUGUUGCAAGCACUUAAGAAAAGAAGCAACGAUGACCAAGAGCAAUCAUGGGCUCAUCCAGAUGAAGUGUAGCAAAUGAUCAUCCAGGUGAACUUGCUGGACAGAAUAAUGGACAGCCUUGACAAGAAGCAUAUUGAUUUCAGUAAGGAUCUUGGCAAAGGAUUCCUUGCAAUAUCUGUGAGAGGUGGAGAAAUGUGGGCUGAACUCACAGCUAUUCAAAUACCAGGGUAUGUGUGCCUGGCUGGUGCCUGCCCAGGAUUGAUUCACUCUAAUGCUACUGAUUUCUGAGAUAGCCUCCUUCCAUGUUCAUAUGUAAUUAUAAUAACAACAGCUGGCACAUGAAAUGUCCACUGUGACACAUAAAGUGCCCACUGCUUAAGGUGUACUUAAUUCUUAAAUUUUCUUUCUCUUUGAGAAAGUAUUACUGUUGUUGCUCUUUAA